CCUUUAGGGACUGCGGAGGACAUUACACAAUAAACAUAUGAAGGCUGCACCGCCAACAGGCGGCAAGGCUGGAGUAUUUUAUUACCCUUGUCUUUUGCGCACUUGUUGUUUCCUGGGCGGGUUCGCCCGCCUCCAGGACCACAUGAUAAACCUUUUUUAUGCAGUUGCAAUCAGCGUCAGUACAACAAAUGUAAAUCAUUUACAACUUUCAACAACGGAUCUCUUGGUUCUGGCAUCGAUGAAGAACGCAGCGAAAUGCGAUACGUAGUGUGAAUUGCAGAAUUCAGUGAAUCAUCGAAUCUUUGAACGCACAUUGCGCCCUUUGGUAUUCCAAAGGGCAUGCCUGUUCGAGCGUCAUUUGUACCCUCAAGCUUUGCUUGGUGUUGGGCGUUUUUUGUCUUUGGUUUUGUCCAAAGACUCGCCUUAAAACGAUUGGCAGCCGGCCUACUGGUUUCGCAGCGCAGCACAUUUUUGCGCUUGCAAUCAGCAAAAGAGGACGGCACUCCAUCAAGACUCUAUAUCACUUUUGACCUCGGAUCAGGUAGGGAUACCCGCUGAACUUAAGCAUAUCAA
rnacentral:rRNA from 1 species